AUUGCGCUGAAAUUCAUUAGAAAUAACAACCUUUUUAUCCAUAGCAAUUUUGUUUUUUUUUUUUUUUUUUUUUAACGGGACUGAAAUCUCCGUAUUUUUCAUUGAUACUUGUGGUGAACUAUUCUUAACUAGUUAUUCGAAGUCGAAUGGUAUUGAAAGAUGCUUAAAAAAUGCAUUUUAAAAUUUGGAUUCAACGUUAAAUUUCUUAUUAAUACUUAGAAUCGCUGGAUUUCGCUGGAGUCUAAAUAAAAUCCGUUUUUCAAUACACAGCCCAUUUAGAAAGUUGAUGCAAAGAAGAUGAAGUCGCGCGUGCCAGAUGGUAUGCGAGUGGUGAAAUAAAAGUUCAGGAAAUCUUAUUGAUUUACGACGUUCCGAAAAAUCGAUUGGCAAACUUUUCACUUAGCGAAUGUGUAUUUCAAGCUGUUGUGCCGUCACGUGGAAUCUACCACAGACCGAAUCGACUUUUUCGUACGUCGAGACACACCUGCUACGAUGUCCAGGACGUUUACGUAUUUCCGCGAUGCUAAUUGACCCACAGAAUGCAAACGAUUCGAUUAAACUUUCUGGCGCAAUUUAAUAGUCCACAAAAAUUGCUUGCCCAAUCGGCGUUCCGGAUUCAUCGAACGAAAUCGGAAUUUUAGGAAAAUCCUAAAAUUUGAGAUAUUAAUCACUAAAUGGGUUCGCAGCAGCGUCACGUGAAUUGGGAGCGCAUCCGACAGUCCCACAUUGGCGAGUUUUUUCUUGCAGCAUUUAAAUUUUCAUUGAUAUACGUAGCUUCACUCGUAGGCCAUCAGAAUUUGAAUUCAAUGGCAGCAAAUGUCGUUGAUACAAUCCACUGCAAGGCUACAAUAAUGAAAAAGGAUUUUCGACCUUCCUUGUGUCAAAAUUCGGUUUCAACGACAUUGAGUAAAGUGUGUCGCAUACGUCGAUCGGAGGCAAUACGCUGUCGCAACAAUCAGUACUUCUUACGAGUGUCAUCCGUUCGCGCUUCGUAAUUUGCCGAGGAUUUGGGAUGAUUCACUGCAGAAAGUGAGCGAGAACGUUGGCAGAUUCGAGAAUGUGAUUCAGAAUUCAGAGACGAAUGGAAAGAGGUUUGGACAAAACAAGAGUAACGCAGUGAUCCAGAGCCAGCCAGUAAAAUCGAAAAAUCACCGAGCAGAGUUAAUCAACGGGCUCAUCUUAAGAACUUUUGAUGCACGAAUUAAAGGCUGAUCAUGAAAGUUGAAUCGGAGGCUAGAAACACAAAAAUUUGAUGAGAAGGAGUGAACGGAAUUGAUUGAGUAAACCAAUAAGAUGGAGCGACUCUGAAACAUGGCAUAAUUUUCAAAAACUUUGAAUUCUCGUACAUAGUUUGCCUCAUUACAAAUGAGACCCCGUUGAUUCGUGCGGUUUUCACGAGAAGAUUCAUUUCGUAAUUGAGAUGCGUUGAUAUUAAGCAAAGAGAAAGGAGAAAUCCAAUAGGUGAAAGAUGAAACGCUUCACGCGUUUACUCACGAGGUCUCAAGCAAUCCUACGCAAACUAGUAGCUCCGGCUGCCAGACUUUUUCUACAUGGAAAUAUAAAUCACUUUACCACUGAGCAAAGAGGGUCGACGAAUUUGCAAACUCGUGAGAUAGAGGAAGGAGAGAUCCGAUGGGAAAGGGAAGAAGAGAGAGAGAGAGAGAGAGAGAAAAGGCGAAGAGUGACGGAAGCUUCUGACAAGAGCAAGACCGGAAUGCCUGAUGUAUGUUUUUGGCUACUCGGACUCUGCUCUCCGGAUCUAUUGAACCGUCCGGUAAAAGAUACGUUUACAAUGAAAUGCAGCGUUGGGUACACUACUUCAUAGCGCAUGUGAUAGCGCGAUGACUGUCGGAAGAUUAUGCACACGACUACCUGUCGAAGUGCUCGCUCUCGGCGACCACUCAACAACUAUUGAAAGCGGACUAUUCACGAGGAUGGAAAAGCAAUGAGAAUUGAGAUUAGUUGAGCAAUAUUUAUUCGACAGUAUACAUCAACGUUUAUACCAAUCGGCGUCACUCGGUUCGCAAAAGCAAAAAUCAGACUAAUGUGCGAUGCAGGAUGUUCCGUGUUACACAAUACAGACGGAAAUGUGGCCGGAUGAGACUAAAACCUCUUUCUUAUACCAAUACGAUACGCAGAGAUUCCCUGACUCGUGAAAUCAUGUGAAAAACAAAUAGAUAACAGGAAGAUCACGAGUCGUCUCGGGCGAUCGUCAUUUUUGAUUCGACACGGCUAAACAAUUGACGACUCAAACGACAAGCAAGGAUAGGCACGCAAGGACAUGAGAAGAUUGAUCGACCAAUCGCUGAUGGAUCAGACGAACGAAACAUUCCAAGAAUUUAUUGAUAUUAUCUUUAUUUAAUUUAUUAUAUUUAUAUUAUUUAUUUAAUUUAUUUAUAUAUCGUGUUAUAAUAUUCCAUCGACCGUCUCAAUUUCGAAUGAUCACUCGACCCUGGAUUCGUCGCAGACGGUUCGAUAAACUUGAAAAUCUGGAAAAACAUUUGAAACUUUGACCAAUCGAUUUAUUCUCUGUCAGAAUAAAUGGCCAGCUUCGACAUUAAUAUGCGAGCUGAAUACGUUAGUAAAUGAGUUGAAAAACGUAAUGAUAAAGAAAAUAUUUAGUUAAAUGUCACGAGACUUUCCGGUCUUCGAAAAUGAAAUAUUGACAAUAAACAUUGCGUAUUGGGUCGUCGUUACCAAAUGGGAACUUUAGUUUUCGAAUCAACAGGUGCGAUGGUGCAAACGUCAAUCACGAGUCUGCCUUUCGAUCACGCGCAUUGUCAGCCACUGAAUCACACCCACGCAUCUUCUCAUUCCUUUCCCCCGCGUAAUAUUGCUAUGGACGAACGGAAACGUUUCUUUCUUCAAAUAAAAACAUUAGUAUUGAAAGUUUAUCAACGCAUCCUACGACCCUCGUGGAGAAGCAUUAAAAGCAAUGUUUCCAAUCCAAGUGCUUGGGUUAAGUCGGUGCCACGCUUUUGUUGCAACUUAUAUCGCGUCUCUAUAACGAUAAUAAUAAUGCCAGCGUGUAUAAUCGCCGGACGUUCUGUUGCUUUCUCUAUGAGCACGUGAGUGUCACACGAGCUCAGAUUUCAAAGAGUCAACACGAAUUAUUAUUGAGUCGAUAUGGAAGUCAGUCCACAGGAUUUUUUCCCGUUGAGUUUCGGUAUUGAGACUAAAAAUUUCGAGCCGAUUCGUGAUUUGAUCCGUAAUGCAGAGUGAGGUCUUUAUAGUCCCGGUGGAAUAAAUAUUCAAGCAAAAAAUGAGUGUGAUAGAAGCAAGGAGUGUUCAAAGAUUUCGAGUUGUGGACAAGCACAAAAGAAUUAGCCGUGGGGACUCGAGCGUUAACCUGAUUUUCGAACAUUCGAGCACAGGCUCGUUUCUCUCAUGAAACCAAAAUCGCUCG